rnacentral:sRNA from 1 species
GUCAAACUGUUAGAAAAGGUACGGGGGCCUAUGCGCAAGAUCGUGUUGUUGCUCGCACUCGCCACGCUGGCGGCGUGCUCGCACACCGGGGACCGGGUGGUCGGCGGUGACGGGGAUUACUAUCAAGGUCUCGUCCCGCCGAGGUGAUCGUCACCUCCGAGGUGAUCGUCACCUCCAAGGUGAUCGCCGCCUCCGAGGUGAGUGUCACCUCCCGAGGUGAGUGUCACCUCCCGAGGUGAGUGUCACCUCUGCGCGGCCAAUUCCAUUGCGAGCCAAACGGCGGCGCCGGCUCGCACGGCAAAAACGGAGGCGCUGCGACUGCGCCGCCUCCGUCAGGGAAC